AUUGAACGCUGGCGGCAUGCCUUACACAUGCAAGUCGAACGGCAGCACGGGUGCUUGCACCUGGUGGCGAGUGGCGAACGGGUGAGUAAUACAUCGGAACGUACCUUAUCGUGGGGGAUAACGCAGCGAAAGUUGCGCUAAUACCGCGUACGCCCUGAGGGGGAAAGCGGGGGACCGUAAGGCCUCGCGCGAUUAGAGCGGCCGAUGUCUAAUUAGCUUGUUGGUGAGGUAAAAGCUCACCAAGGCGAUGAUCAGUAGCUGGUCUGAGAGGACGAUCAGCCACACUGGGACUGAGACACGGCCCAGACUCCUACGGGAGGCAGCAGUGGGGAAUUUUGGACAAUGGGGCAACCCUGAUCCAGCAAUGCCGCGUGAGUGAAGAAGGCCUUCGGGUUGUAAAGCUCUUUUGUCAGGGAAGAAACAGCAGCUCUAACACAGUCUGCGAAUGACGGUACCUGAAGAAUAAGCACCGGCUAACUACGUGCCAGCAGCCGCCGUAA
rnacentral:rRNA from 1 species